rnacentral:rRNA from 1 species
UCAGAACGAACGCUGGCGGCAGGCUUAACACAUGCAAGUCGAACGCCCCGCAAGGGGAGUGGCAGACGGGUGAGUAACGCGUGGGAAUCUACCUAUCUCUACGGAAUAACCCAGGGAAACUUGGACUAAUACCGUAUACGCCCUUCGGGGGAAAGAUUUAUCGGGGAUAGAUGAGCCCGCGUUGGAUUAGCUAGUUGGUGGGAUAAAGGCCUACCAAGGCGACGAUCCAUAGCUGGUCUGAGAGGAUGAUCAGCCACAUUGGGACUGAGACACGGCCCAAACUCCUACGGGAGGCAGCAGUGGGGAAUAUUGGACAAUGGGCGCAAGCCUGAUCCAGCCAUGCCGCGUGAGUGAUGAAGGCCCUAGGGUUGUAAAGCUCUUUCAACGGUGAAGAUAAUGACGGUAACCGUAGAAGAAGCCCCGGCUAACUUCGUGCCAGCAGCCGCGGUAAUACGAAGGGGGCUAGCGUUGUUCGGAAUUACUGGGCGUAAAGCGCACGUAGGCGGAUACUUAAGUUAGGGGUGAAAUCCCAGGGCUCAACCCUGGAACUGCCUUUAAUACUGGGUAUCUCGAGUUCGAGAGAGGUGAGUGGAAUUCCGAGUGUAGAGGUGAAAUUCGUAGAUAUUCGGAGGAACACCAGUGGCGAAGGCGGCUCACUGGCUCGAUACUGACGCUGAGGUGCAAAAGCGUG